GCAAACUUGGUCAUUUAGAGGAAGUAAAAGUCGUAACAAGGUUUCCGUAGGUGAACCUGCGGAAGGAUCAUCAUUGAAAUGAAAAAUGGUCAUAUUUAUGGCCCAAGUCAGGGAUUUAGAUUUCUGGCUUGCAAACAACAUAGAUACCCAACGAGAAAGGUGUUUCUUUCUUUGGUUGAAAGAGAGGGGGGGAAGAAGAACUUCUUAUCGAUCAAGAGGAAACAGUUUUUUUUUAAAAAAAACAAAUUUUUGGUGGUUGCCUGAUAAUCAAGUGUUUGGAAAGGAUGAAUAAAAAAACAACUUUCAACAACGGAUCUCUUGGCUCUCACAUCGAUGAAGAACGCAGC
rnacentral:misc_RNA from 1 species